UGCCCUAUAGCUCAAUUGGCAGAGCGCCUGACUCUGGAUCAGGAGGUUCCAGGUUCGAAUCCUGGUAGGGCAACCA
rnacentral:tRNA from 1 species